ACGAGAGGCCCUAGUUGAUAUGCUCGGCGUAAAGAGUGGUUAUGGGAGUACUACACUAAAGCUAAAGGCCCCUCAAGCAGUCAUACGUACCCAGGGCCCCGAAACACCAGCACGAAAGUCGCUUUACCAUACCCACCAGAAUCCACGAUAGCCGGGAAACAAACUGGGAUUAGAUACCCCACUAUGCCCCGCCGUAAACUUAGAUGUAAUUAACACAACAAACAUCCGCCAGGGAACUACGAGCGUUAGCUUAAAACCCAAAGGACUUGGCGGUGCUUCAAACCCCCCUAGAGGAGCCUGUUCUAGAACCGAUAACCCCCGUUCAACCUCACCAUUCCUAGCUUCUUCCGCCUAUAUACCGCCGUCGCCAGCUUACCCUGUGAAGGUAAAAUAGUAAGCAAAACAGGCACACCCUAAAACGUCAGGUCGAGGUGUAGCGCACGAAAUGGAAAGAAAUGGGCUACAUUAUCUGAGACAGAUCACUAACAAAAGGUCCCCUGAAAUAAAGACCCGAAGGUGGAUUUAGCAGUAAAGAGGGAAUAGAGCGCCCCCUUGAAGCCGGCCCUGAAGCGCGCACACACCGCCCGUCACUCUCCCCGACAACCAAUUCAACUCAAGUACCUUAACAAGACAAUAACAACAAGGGGAGGCAAGUCGU
rnacentral:rRNA from 1 species